AGUCACUGACAUUAGAUACCAGGGUAGUCCAGGGUGUAAACGCUGCAGACUUGGUGUUGGAAGCCCUUUGGGGGCAUUCAGUGCCGGAGAGAAGUUGUUAAGUCUGCUACUUGGGGAGUACGUCCGCAAGGAUGAAACUUAAAGGAAUUGGCGGGGGAGCACCGCAACGGGAGGAGCGUGCGGUUUAAUUGGAUUCAACACCGUAAAACUCACCAGGGAAGACUGUUACAUGAAGGCCGAGAUGAAGACUCUGCUAGAUUUUCAG
rnacentral:rRNA from 1 species